CUACGUGCCAGCAGCCGCGGUAAUACGUAGGGUGCGAGCGUUAAUCGGAAUUACUGGGCGUAAAGCGAGCGCAGACGGUUACUUAAGCAGGAUGUGAAAUCCCCGGGCUCAACCUGGGAACUGCGUUCUGAACUGGGUGACUAGAGUGUGUCAGAGGGAGGUAGAAUUCCACGUGUAGCAGUGAAAUGCGUAGAGAUGUGGAGGAAUACCGAUGGCGAAGGCAGCCUCCUGGGAUAACACUGACGUUCAUGCUCGAAAGCGUGGGUAGCAAACAGGAUUAGAUACCCUGGUAGUCCACGCCCUAAACGAUGUCAAUUAGCUGUUGGGCAACUUGAUUGCUUAGUAGCGUAGCUAACGCGUGAAAUUGACCGCCUGGGGAGUACGGUCGCAAGAUUAAAACUCAAAGGAAUUGACGGGGACCCGCACAAGCGGUGGAUGAUGUGGAUUAAUUCGAUACAACGCGAAGAACCUUACCUGGUCUUGACAU
rnacentral:rRNA from 1 species